UGGGGAAUUUUGGACAAUGGGGGAAACCCUGAUCCAGCCAUCCCGCGUGUGCGAUGAAGGCCUUCGGGUUGUAAAGCACUUUCAGCGAGGGAGGAAGGUGGUGGACUUAAUACGUUCAUCAAUUGACGUUACUCGCAGAAGAAGCACCGGCUAACUCCGUGCCAGCAGCCGCGGUAAUACGGAGGGUGCAAGCGUUAAUCGGAAUUACUGGGCGUAAAGCGCACGCAGGCAGGUUUGUUAAGUCAGAUGUGAAAUCCCCGGGCUCAACCUGGGAACUGCAUUUGAAACUGGCAAGCUAGAGUCUCGUAGAGGGGGGUAGAAUUCCAGGUGUAGCGGUGAAAUGCGUAGAGAUCUGGAGGAAUACCGGUGGCGAAGGCGGCCCCCUGGACGAAGACUGACGCUCAGGUGCGAAAGGCGUGGGGGAGCAAACAGGAUUAGAUACCCUGGUAGUCCACGCUGUAAACGAUGUCGAUUUUGGAGGUUGUGCCCUUGAGGCGUGGCUUCCGGAGCUAACGCGUUAAAUCGACCGCCUGGGGAGUACGGCCGCAAGGUUAAAACUCAAAGGAAUUG
rnacentral:rRNA from 1 species